UAUGUUAUAAUGACCAAGUGAACUUUGAAAUUUUUUUUCGAGGUUCCUGAUGUAUGUAGGUGGUGAUAACAAAGGAAACCAUAAAAGGUCUUAGAAGAUUAAAAAGGUUCUGCACAUUCUUCCAUGUUUUAGUUGGAUAUAUUGGUUCUGCACGGUUUCUUUCACGUUAGAGGAUGACUCAUGGAAUCCAUAAAAAUCUUUGUUGCUUUACGUCUCGCGUAUCUCUGAGCCUUAUACGAGAACAUAUACAGUAAGAUAUAAUAGAUGCUACCAACAUAUGUAAAAUUUAAAAGGAGACAAUAAGGUUGCCACUUCUUUUUUCUAUUUAUUUUUAUCACAAAAUAACCCACAUGUUAUUUGCGAGAUCAGCAAACUUUAAAAGCUAUAUUAAGGAGGAUUAUUCUGAAGAACAAAUCAAGCAAACAGAGUUCUAUUGUUACAGAUUUUAUUAAGCUAAUUGUGUUUGAAUAUUGUUUCUUUAUGUCCCUCUUUGGAAUGGAGUGGCUAUAUUUUGUUGUAGUUGUUCAACAUGUACAAUGCUUAAUCUCUGUUUCAAGUGAAAACAUCAGUCCACAACAACAAAGGUCACAUCCUUUGGGUUGAAGCAAAGUUCUGUAUCACAA